AACGCAUAUUGCACUCCUCUGGAGUAUGCCUGUUUGAGAAUCUAUAGUAUUUCUUUUGGGUUUUUUUGUUUACGACGAGAAGAACCAAAGAUAUGAGGCCUUCCCUUGAGUUCGAGGGUGCCUUCAAAUAGAUUAUCUUUAGGAUGGAGAAAGUGUUUGACACCCUUCCAACUCUACAGAAAAGUAUGUGAAUGGAACUUUAUGUUUCUCAUUAUGCCGACUACGUAGAGGGAUCGGAAUAGUUUUCUCUUGACCAAAGAUUCAUAACCAUAAAGUCGUUAGACUUGAACCAUGGUCUCAAAUCAGGUAGGAAGACCCGCUGAACUUAA
rnacentral:misc_RNA from 1 species